UACGGAGGGGGCGAGCGUUGUUCGGAAUUAUUGGGCGUAAAGAGCUCGUAGGCGGUUUGUCGCGUCUGCUGUGAAAACGCGAGGCUCAACCUCGCGCCUGCAGUGGGUACGGGCAGACUAGAGUGCGGUAGGGGAGAUUGGAAUUCCUGGUGUAGCGGUGGAAUGCGCAGAUAUCAGGAGGAACACCGAUGGCGAAGGCAGAUCUCUGGGCCGUAACUGACGCUGAGGAGCGAAAGCAUGGGGAGCGAACAGG
rnacentral:rRNA from 1 species